AGGGCCACACCCACAGCAUACGGAAGUUCCCAGGCCAGGGGUCCGAUCCGAGCCACAGCUGCCAGCCUACACCACAGCCACACAGGAUCUGCACUGCAUCUGUAACCUACACCACAGCUCAUGGCAACACCGGAUCCUUAACCCACAGAGUGAUGCCAGGGAUCGAACCUACAUCCUCAUGAACUACGAAAAACAGUUUCCCUUGAAUUUACCUUUUCAGAAUCUUUUCUCUGUGACCAUUUUAGGGCCUCAAUGUGCCAGGAUCAUAUUAUGAUCUUUAGGAAAGGAAUCAAGGGCAUUGUUCAAUCAGUUUUAUAUGCAGGUCUUACAAUGGAAGGGCCAGAAUAAUGGUGUAACUUGCAUAGGAUCCAGGGCAGAUCAUCAGGAUUGGUGAAGGUCUUCUGGGUCAGAAAGAAGACUCAAAGGAGGUCCUGAAUUGGGACGGAAUGGAAAUAAAGGAUGGUAAAUGAUUCUGAAGAUUCAGGAUCUGUGCAGCUUUUGUCUUUGAUGAGACAUACCUGAGCCAGCUAUCACAGAGCCCAGGUAGUUGCAAACAUCCACCCAGUAAGUGGUUCCUGAAAACCCAGUGAGAUGUAGAAAUAUGAAAAUGGGCUUCAGACUCAUGGAAGCCAUAGGGUGAAUUCUAGCUUUCUCACAUACAAGUGACUGUAAGAACAUUUCCAUGGCCUUUCUCAGUCUAGAGACCACUAUAUGACCCUGAGCUGUUGUGAAACAAGCUAUAGACAAUGCACGUGAGAUAUUUGGUUCAUGGUGGACAUUCAACAUAUGUGAAUUAGCAUUACCUAAACAGUAUGUAAGAAUUUAGGAGACGUGACUACAAAAUGAAGUGCCGUGUUUCUGCAUAUAGCUUGUGGGACAACUCAUCACUUUAUACCCUGUUCCCUAUGUAAUCUCUGUGAGGUCAUCGUACGUCUUCAGUUAUUUUCAACGUUUCAGAAUUCCAGGAAAAAAUACUGUGUUUUCUUCUGUUGGCCUAAAAAUUCCUAUUAAAUUAUUAGCUUCAGCAGGCAGGUUUAUGUUCAGUUAGUAAGUGUAUGUACCUUCCACAUGUCUUUUCACAGUAUUUUUAUUCCAGAGUGAAGAGAGACUGGCAAUGUCACGGUAGCCAUUAAAUAGCUGCUGAUCAGUGACGAAUAAGUGACAUGUAAGAGAUCCGAGGAGUGUGCAGUGUAGCCUCCUAUGCAAGAGAUCUCAGAAUUUAAGUGGCAUGCAGACUACUCCAUAACCAGAAGCCAGAGGAAGAACUUCAUAUUUCUGGCCUGAUACUUUUUUCUCACUUGAGCUUCUUCUUCUCAGUCCUCACGCCUUCUUUUGUGGAUCUGCUUUGCAAACAUUUUAGCAUCGUAGAAGUUCCUCUGAGAAGUCCAAAUACUCCAAUCUGUAUUUACUCCACCGGAUUCAGCCUCCAAACCUGCUAAAUCUUGGAUAUUAUUGGUUUGACACCUGUGCCUUCACCACACCAUGAUUCCUAAUAUUAUUUUUAGAAACUGCAGGUGUAUUUUAAGUCAGUAAGUCUCCAUCAAAACACAGAUACCCAAAUCAGACAUCUUAGUAAAUAUUUCAAAACUCUAGAGAAAAGCUCCAGCUCUCUCUCUCUCUCUUUUUUUUCCUUAGAUUCCCUGUCACAACAUUCAUACCAUUUAUGAAUAAUAAUCUGGAAGUGGUGUUUUGGAGUAUGGCUGAAAAAUUAGAUGUUCAGAUUCAGCCUUAGAAGUCAUCCAUAAAACACUCAGUGUAAAAAAGGUAAGAGAAAACAUCAGCCACAAAACUGGCAAAAUUAAAACAGCAAUUCCAAUGGACCAUUUGAAGAGACGGGAGACAUUCAAAGACAGAGGUGCUGUCUCUGACCCGUCUCACGCUGGCUGCAUGAUAGACCCAAGCAUUCCACCUACUGACAAAUGUGGAGCUUUACCACUCUGGACCAAGGUCCAGGAAUCUUUGCAUCACCAGAAGUACAUAGAUUAUAUGUACAGCCAAAACAAAUGAGCUUAUCAUUUUGAUAUUUUAUCUCACCUUCUCUAUAAGUGAAAGUAGAGGACACCCAAAGAACAUUCUUUUGCAACAGCACUCUUCUUCAUAAGGGUCUUUCUUUCCCUUAAAAUUGUUCAAUAUUCAUCAUUAAAUUCUGACAAAGAUUGUGUUUUUUCCACCUUGUGGAUUUCUACUUAUUAGCAAAGCACCUGACAUAUAGAAGGCACAUAAUAAAUUAUAUGAAAUUAAUUUCCUAAUUAAUUAACUAGAGAUCUUCUUUGCUAACAGGGAGAUUGUACUUUAAACAGAAGAAAAUAAAUUCUAGUUUGAACAUUUCUACAAAUAAUGAAACAAAAGGAAAUCUAGCACUGAUUCAUCCUGCUUUGGCAAUAUGCUUUUUCUUAACCCAGAGUGAACAAAUGCUUUAUAUAGGUUAACAAUACACAAAUGGAAAUAGUUUGAUUC
rnacentral:lncRNA from 1 species